rnacentral:rRNA from 1 species
UACGUAGGGGGCAAGCGUUGUCCGGAAUCAUUGGGCGUAAAGAGCGUGUAGGCGGUCCGGUAAGUCGGCUGUGAAAGUCCAGGGCUCAACCCUGGGAUGCCGGUCGAUACUGCCGGACUAGAGUUCGGAAGAGGCGAGUGGAAUUCCCGGUGUAGCGGUGAAAUGCGCAGAUAUCGGGAGGAACACCUAUGGCGAAGGCAGCUCGCUGGGACGUUACUGACGCUGAGGCGCGAAAGCUAGGGGAGCAAACGGG